UGCCGGAGUUGGCAAGUGAGGCAAGCUAACCUCCAAAUUCUCACCGCACCGCUAGCUUCCACCGGUGGGACGAGAGGACAGAUUCAAACAUACCAAGGGACGAUUGGUACGGCCGUCUGACCGGCAGACACGACGCCUGCUCGCACACCACGAGGUCGAGGGCACUGGCUGGCACCAUCUUGUCAAGCCCAGUACGAUUGGAGGAACAACAAGGCCUUCCGAAGGAGGGCCUUUAAUUACAGCUUUUUUCCUUCCCGGGAACAACAACGAGUGCCUACAAGGAACGGUGGUGGGAUCAGGAAGGCCGACGGAAAAAGAGCGGUGGCGAUUCCGGCAUUCGGAGCGCAGCGCCGGGAGAACCGCCUGACGACGCGACUGUCUCGUGCAAGCGAAGAAACCCACAGACACAGUGGUUCCCAAGCGUCGAGCUGCGUUGGUUCAUGCACCGGACAGGCCGGUUAGGAGAACACGGUUAGGCGCAAGUAGGAUAUCGUAGCGCGGGGUGGUUUGACCGAAUCCACUCCUGCGACCGGCUGAGGGCGUGACCAGAGCGAGAUGUUUGGUUGGCCGAUGACAUGUGCGUUGGCGAGGAUGCAACGGCAAGGGGGACGCCCCUCACAGAUAAGUUCUAGUUUUUAAGAAUGUAGAGCAUUAGAUCUUAAGCUUAACACCUAAGCCCAAAUGGGAAAUCCCAAAAUACAUGUAUUAAGCUGAGAUUUGCCGUUUUGUGAUUUCUAGUUGAGCUAUAGCCCCUCAGUGUUUGCGAUUUGAGUCCUUGUUCUAUUCGUUAGCGGUAAUUGCUCUGCCACUACCGGGACACUUG